rnacentral:rRNA from 1 species
GUCGAACGAAGAGCGAUGGAAGCUUGCUUCUAUCAAUCUUAGUGCCGUAAGGGUGAGUAACGCGUAAUCAACCUGCCCUUCAGAGCGGGACAACAGUUGGCAACGACUGCUAAUACCGCAUACGAUCCAAUCUCGGCAUCGAGACUGGAUGAAAGGUGGCCUCUAUUUAUAAGCUAUCACUGAAGGAGGGGAUUGCGUCUGAUUAGCUAGUUGGAGGGGUAACGGCCCACCAAGGCGAUGAUCAGUAGCCGGUCUGAGAGGAUGAACGGCCACAUUGGGACUGAGACACGGCCCAGACUCCUACGGGAGGCAGCAGUGGGGAAUCUUCCGCAAUGGACGAAAGUCUGACGGAGCAACGCCGCGUGAGUGAUGACGGCCUUCGGGUUGUAAAGCUCUGUUAAUCGGGACGAAUGGUUCUUGUGCGAAUAGUGCGAGGAUUUGACGGUACCGGAAUAGAAAGCCACGGCUAACUACGUGCCAGCAGCCGCGGUAAUACGUAGGUGGCAAGCGUUGUCCGGAAUUAUUGGGCGUAAAGCGCGCGCAGGCGGAUUGGUCAGUCUGUCUUAAAAGUUCGGGGCUUAACCCCGUGAUGGGAUGGAAACUGCCAAUCUAGAGUGUCGGAGAGGAAAGUGGAAUUCCUAGUGUAGCGGUGAAAUGCGUAGAUAUUAGGAAGAACACCAGUGGCGAAGGC